UUAUUUGAAAUAGGAUACAACCUCAACCACUGGGUAAAAAAAGACAAUAAAAAUAAAGUGGGCCCAAGAGCAGCCACCUUUAAAAAAGCGUCAAAGCUUCACUAUUACAGUCCCAAAUUACUAAAGCACCCACUAACCCGUCAUCUCUACUGAACCACUUUAUAUACUAUAAAAACGAUUAUGCUAGAACUAGUAACAAGAACUUGCCAUUCUCCUCAAUGUAAUUAUAAACCAAAACGGACUCUCCGCUGGUAAUUAACGUAAAUGAAAAACCAUAAUAACACAUAAACCAGAAAACCUUAUGGCCACAACACGUUACCCUAACACUAGAACAUUUCAGGAAAGAUUAAAAGAAAGAGAAGGAACUCGGCAAAUUUUAGCCCCGCCUGUUUACCAAAAACAUCGCCUCCUGCUUAAACAUAGGAGGUCCAGCCUGCCCAGUGAUAACAUUAAACGGCCGCGGUAUUCUGACCGUGCGAAGGUAGCAUAAUCACUUGUUCCUUAAAUAGGGACUCGUAUCAACGGCAUCACGAGGGCUAUACUGUCUCCCCUCUCCAAUCAGUGAAACUGAUCCCCCCGUGAAGAAGCGGGGAUUUAGCU
rnacentral:rRNA from 1 species